rnacentral:lncRNA from 1 species
AGCAAAUUCUUUCAUAUGAAACAACAAAGUCUCAUCCAACCGCAUCGCUAAUAACUAAAACGAAACACAAAACAAAUAAAGAUCAGUUGAUUACUUUCUUCGCAUUUGUUAUGAAAUACUAGUCUUCCAUUAUGUUGAUAUACUAGGAACACCUUCAUCUUGCUAGCAUUGAAUGCCAGGAGAUCUGCUUGCCUAAGCUAUCAGCUGACAUUGGGUUUCAAGGAUGGGUAGACAGAUGCAACACACAGGAAGAAAAACUAUAAAGAAGCCUAGAAAAUGUUCCUAUCACUGCCAACACAAGUGCACGUACAAAGUAAGUCAUCUGAGCAUAUAUUCCUCAAUCAUAAGCAUAACGAGGGGAUACUUGGUUGUAACGUAUCCAGAUGUUGUGGCUAUAUGGACAUUUCUCCCAACAAACAACAGGAUAGAAUGAACUCCACAGGAAAAUACUGCCCUGAUGAUUGGUUGCAAAAACAAGGGAAGGGCUACAAGUUUGACAUAAGCUUUAAGUCAUGGAUUGAUAGUGAAAUAUCCUGUGCAGUCAAGAAAUCACAUCUCUUGGUGAUCAAAGACAAGGGAGAAUUGGUUUGGACAAAAGAAAUCAGAAGUGUUUUCAUAGCUGAUGCUCAGCUGGGUCUUCCUUCUCAGGAUUUCAUUCAGAGUAAAAUUCAUGAUGAAAUGUACUUUUGGAUUGGGUGA